rnacentral:rRNA from 1 species
AUUGAACGCUGGCGGCAUGCCUUACACAUGCAAGUCGAACGGUAACAGGUCUUCGGAUGCUGACGAGUGGCGAACGGGUGAGUAAUACAUCGGAACGUGCCUAGUAGUGGGGGAUAACUACUCGAAAGAGUGGCUAAUACCGCAUGAGAUCUACGGAUGAAAGCAGGGGAUCGCAAGAACUUGUGCUACUAGAGCGGCCGAUGGCAGAUUAGGUAAUUGGUGGGAUAAAAGCUUACCAAGCCGACGAUCUGUAGCUGGUCUGAGAGGACGAUCAGCCACACUGGGACUGAGACACGGCCCAGACUCCUACGGGAGGCAGCAGUGGGGAAUUUUGGACAAUGGGCGAAAGCCUGAUCCAGCAAUGCCGCGUGCAGGAUGAAGGCCUUCGGGUUGUAAACUGCUUUUGUACGGAACGAAAAGCCCCGGGUUAAUACCCUGGGGUCAUGACGGUACCGUAAGAAUAAGCACCGGCUAACUACGUGCCAGCCGCCGCAGUAA